rnacentral:rRNA from 1 species
UCAGGACGAACGCUGGCGGCGUGCCUAACACAUGCAAGUCGAACGAAGUAUAUUUUUCGGAAUGUGCUUAGUGGCGGAACGGGUGGGUAACGCGUGAACAAUCUGCCCCAUACAGAGGAAUAGCCUCGGGAAACCGGGAUUAAAACCACAUAACACUUAAGUAUCGCAUGGUACAUGAGUCAAAUUGAUUAAGAGGUAUGGGAUGAGUUCGCGUCUGAUUAGCUAGUUGGUGAGGUAAAGGCUCACCAAGGCGACGAUCAGUAGCCGGCCUGAGAGGGUGAACGGCCACACUGGAACUGAGACACGGUCCAGACUCCUACGGGAGGCAGCAGUGGGGAAUAUUGCACAAUGGAGGAAACUCUGAUGCCAGCGACGCCGCGUGAGUGAAGAAGGUCUUCGGAUCGUAAAACUCUGUCCUUGGUGAAGAUAAUGACGGUAGCCAAGGAGGAAGCCCCGGCUAACUACGUGCCAGCCGCAGC